rnacentral:sRNA from 2 species
AUAUCUAUAAUGCCGAAUCCUUGUAGGUACGGGGGAACCGAUAGAAAUAUAGGGGUGAAUCCAGAUUUUUUUGGAGGGGUUAUUCUCUAAUCUUCUCUUUUACCCUAACCCGACAGCUAACCUCGGAGGCUGAGAUGCCACAAUCC